CAUCGGCUGCGGGCCCCUCUGGCGGAGCGCGUUUUCAUGCCUCCGUGAUGUCGGAGCCGAUGC
rfam:Methylobacterium sp. Leaf399 contig_3, whole genome shotgun sequence.